GUGACAGUGAGUCGGCCAGAAGACACAGCUGCUCGCUCUCAUUUCCCACUUAAGCUGAAGAGCUCCCGUUCAAGGCUCAGGGUUUCAGCCCACCAGGGAGGUUUCGGUGAAAAUAUUCAGUGUUUGAUGAAGACACGCCCUCCUGGCCUAUUUCAGCUACCAAAGAGACCAGAGUAAUGAGAAAUGUGGAACACAGAAACAUGUCACAUCGUGUGCUUCACACCACGCAGCCAUGGUCACUCAAGUGACUACAGCUUUGUCAUCAGCAACCACGGACAGAGAUGGGCCCCCCCCCUUAUAGUACAAAGCAAGACUGCCUGUCCUUCAGUGACCUCAAAAUUUACAAGUGGUGCCAGAAAUCUAUACUUCAAUCCCAUUAAUGUCCAAGCGCCCCAGGCUUAUUCAAUUUCUAACUGGUUUAUAUUAUAUUUAAAAUACAGGGAUUUGCUGACCUUA